ACAAGCGGAGGAGCAUGUGGUUUAAUUCGAUGAUACGCGAGGAACCUUACCUGGGCUCGAACGUAAGAUGACUGUAGGUGAAAGCUUACAUCUCUUCGGAGCAUUUUACGAGGUGCUGCAUGGUUGUCGUCAGCUCGUGCCGUGAGGUGUCGGGUUAAGUCCAUAACGAGCGCAACCCCUACCUUUAGUUGCCAUCAGGUUAAGCUGGGGACUCUAAAGGAACUGCCUACGCAAGUAGUGAGGAAGCGGGGAUGACGUCAAAUCAGCACGGCCCUUACGUCCAGGGCUACACACGUGCUACAAUGGCCGAUACAGAGGGCAGCUACCUGGUGACAGGAUGCAAAUCUCCAAAGUCGGUCUCAGUUCGGAUCGGAGUCUGCAACCCGACUCCGUGAAGUUGGAUUCGCUAGUAAUCGCGCAUCAGCCAUGGCGCGGUGAAUACGUUCCCGGGCCUU
rnacentral:rRNA from 1 species